UUCACUCAUUAUUAAAAUUUUACAAACGUACUAAUGAAGCCUUUUACACCACAAACAGAGAUUCUUGUUUUUUUCCAGACAUUUUUCAGGUGAAGAUAAACUGUUGUUUACGUAACGCUGCAGUCGUUUAGUUCCGUCGGCUCACAUCUUGUCGGUGCUGUAUACCUUCAGGGGCGGGGCCUAUUGUCCACCUGCUACCUGCCGUCUGUCUAAAAGUGCUCACGAUAAAGAAUCCGUUCGUACUUACAUUACAGAUGAUUGUUUUGGAAACGGAGGUACUUUUUCUCGCCUUGUUCUGGAACAACAAAAUAAGACUAAACUUUGAUUCACAUAUUCAAACAUAAAAAUAUGUAAAAAUAAAUAGUAAAUAAAUAAAGGUUAAGUAAAUUUGUUUGUGCUGGACAGCAUCUGUCAGAUUCUAACUCGGGAAAACUCUGGUGUUAAAAACAGCUUUUAAGGUUUCAUUUUAUGGUUUAGAAGCUGGUAACCAAUACCAUCGUAGGUGUCUGUUCAUAGAUAGCACUCAAACGGUAAACAAAUAAGUUUUUGUCUGUUUUAAAGGAGCAGCUUCGUGUAGCUAACGGGCUGCGUUAAAUGAGUGAUGACAGGGGGAGGAGCUUGGCCAGCAGCCGGUUCAGUAUCAUCAGCACUGAUUGGUCAGAUUUUUUUUUUCUUCUUCUGAAACACGAAAAACUUUUUUGUAGUUUUAUUUAUGAUGUAAUUUGUUUGUUUUUUAUUUAAUUACAGAAUGAGUCAUUUCAUUUUCAUAUGCGGACCUUCAAGAAAAGAAAAUGUCAAAACACUUUUUUGCGUGUUUUGUCUGUUUACGAAGGCUCCAAGUUCUUUUUCAUUCCUUUUGCUCAGGAACGUUGCCACUUAGUGGCCACACUCUUUAACAGACAAAAAUCAGAAAAAGUCCAAACAAACAGCAGUGAUUCUUACAUUUUUGUGGACUUCUCUUUCAUUUCUGACAGUAUGAACUAAAGAUCUUUCAGGUUUUUCUGGUUAACUUCAUUUCAUGUGUUCAUAUUCAUCCAUUCCUGCAUUUCAGGAUGACAUUCCACAAAAGGUUGGUCACUAAACCAUUUACCACUUUGUCAUGUUGACAUUUCUUCUCACAGCACCUAAAAGACAUUUUGGCUUUGAGGACACUAAGUGAUGAACUGCUCCAGGUGUUAUUUUGCCUGAUUUUUCCUGUAAACGUCUUAAAGUGUCCAGCAGUACAGGUCGUCUUCUUAAUUCUCUACACACUCUCUGUUGGGGACAGGUCAGGACUCUGGCAGGCCACUCCAGUACCCGUCCCGUCUUCUCCUGCAGCCGUGUCUUUGUAACGUGUGCAGAAUGUGGUUUUGUAUUGUAUUGUUGAAUAAUACAUGGACGUCCCUGGAAAAGACGUCGUCUUGCAGGCAGCACGUGUUGCUCUAAAAUCUCAUGGUACUUUUCUGCAUUAAUGCUGCAUCACAGAGUGUAAAUGACCUUUGACAAGGACACUGACAUGACCCCAGACUUGGACAGACCCUUGAUUUUGGAGUUGUUGCUGACAACAGUCUGAAUGGUCCUUUUGGUCUUUGGUCCACACCACACGGUGUGCAUUUCUUCCAAAAAAAGAAAAAAAGAUCUGGAAUAAUGAUUUGUUUGACCACAAUACAUGAUUCCACUGUCUGAUUGUCCAACCGAGUAGCUUCUGAGACAAGAGACAUUGUCAGCACUUCUGCACAAAGUUAACAUGAGGCUUCUUCUUUGCACAGUAAAGGUUUAAGCAGAAUUUGUGCAAGUAACUCUGUUUUAGUACUGGACAAAGGUUUCUCAAAGUAAUCCAUUGCCCAUGUGGUUAUAUCAGCUAUUGAUGAAUGACUGUUCUUGAUGCAAUGCUGUCACAGAUCACGGAUGUCCAUCUUAGGCUUGCGUCCUUUCCUUCUACACACUGAAAUUCUUCCACAUUCCUUGAAUCAUUUCAUGAUAUUUUGCACUGUAGAAGCAGAAAUAUGCAAACUCCUUCCCUCUUUCUUUGAGGAACAUUGUUUUCUCACACAUUUGCUGAUCCUUGGCCCGUCUUUGUCCUCAAAGACUCACACUUUAUAAGGGCCCCUUCAUAUAUAGUACAAAUAAGUACAAAUCAGGGCAGAUCACAGUGAAACAGCUCGUAUGAGUGAACCACGAAAACUUUGAGCCGAUGUUGGGAGGGACACGUGGUUGGGCAGAUGUGAACAAACCCGCUGCAUCGGUUUCGUGCAAUAAACUGUUGCAGCAGGAACAGUGCGAGCAGCUGGAGCAUGUGUAACCACAUUGCGCAGCUGCUAUGAAAAAAACAAUACAUGCCACCCACGGGAUUCGACCCUGCAAUUUACAAAAGCUCUGAUUGCCAGCCAGAAACUUUACCACUGUGCUACCAUUGCUGUCCUAUAAAAGGUGCGGAAAAAUGGCUGAAAUCAACAAUGAGAUAGAUGUAUUUAAAAAAAAAAAACCCACUGCAUUUCAUUGAAUCCGUCUUAUCGAGUGAACAAUACAAGUAUGAACCGUCUGUUCCUCUGUAGGUGACCCAUGGUUACAGAUGAAAUGACAUGAAUGAAGCAGUGCACUGUUAUCAUGUCCACAUCUACUGGCCCGGUGGGUCUAGCGGUCCGCGCACGCAUGUCCGGCCCGACACACAUGUCCUGUGGAUGGCACGCCACAGGACUGACUAGUGAUGGGAUGAACAACACUGAUGUGUCAACACUGGGCCGAGCACACGAGUGAAACCCCGUAUUGGUGCGUGUAUUGCUUUAAGAAAAAAUCAUGUGACCGAUACAGGAACUGUGUCGUUCGACUGCGCCAUGCCAAAUUAUGUUUAUAAGGAAACAAACUGUAUCGACAUGUUGCAGAUUUGUUGGAUGGAGUUUUGCUGUUGGAUUUUUUGCUUGCCCUCACCUCGUACCACUGACUUUAUGGCUCGUUCAAAGACGUUUCCCCAGUCUGGAAUAAUUUUGAUCUUUUGACACCAAAUAAGGUUUUGGUUUUGUGUUGACUCUUGAGUUCCCGUUCCUAGUCUGCGGGGGCACUGAUGGUUCUGGGAUCCAUGUGUGUGAAACGCUUUCUCCCAUUCCACAGAUCCCCGUCCAGAUUUUCAGGUUUGUCUUUGAGUCCGCGUCCAUUCUUUUCACCAUGUCUUGUGAAAAUAAAUGUUUUAAUUUCAUUUAAAUUCCUGUAAUAAUGUGAGAGAGAAACCAAAUGUUGAUAUUCUGCUGAGGCUUUUCUCCACUGUGCCUUAUUGUAGUGCACCACAGAUCCGUGCACGUGAGAAAAAGCCAAACCAGGUGGCACCAACCAGAAUGUCUGUUUUGUUUUUGUUUGUUUUUU